GGUUGAUCAAGAAACUUGCAAAAAUAAAGGAAGAACAGGGUCUUAUAGCAGAAGCUACUGAUUUGAUGCAAGAAAUCGUGGUAGAAACUUUUGGAGCGAUGGCAAAGACAGAGAAAAUUGCCUUUAUUUUUUAACAAGUUCAUUUGUGCUUAGAUCGCCAGGAUUAUGUCUGUUCACAUAUCCUUUCCAGGAAGAUCAGGUCCCUGAGUGUUUGAUGCAGAUCCUUCCAAAGAGAAGAAAAGACCUAAAGAAGGUGAAAACAUGGUCGAACAAGCGCCAGCUGAUAUUCUGUCACUUCUGGAGUUGAAAUGGAUAUACUGUGACCCAUGAUACGGUUCUAAGGAAAAUCUGCUGGUACUUAGUUCUAUAACCACAUGGUCCUAUGCAGUCAAGCCUUCUUAAUGCCACUUUAGAGGAUAAACAUCUAUCAGAAAUUCUUCAAUUCAGGUACCAUCUUUGAAUUGUUCUAGGCAAUUGGUUGUACAUUUUGCAAUAUCUCAAUAAUGUGCCAUAGAAUUUGGUCGACCAUGCCUUUGAUAUUUUAACGCAAGUUGCUGCUGAAACAAUUGGUCACAGUGGAGGUUAUCCGAUGGACUCCUUUUUAAAGUACUUUCAAAGAUAAAUUUGAGAAUGAGAAAACAUGCUAGGAGAUGCACUUGUUGAGAAGGCAGCAGAAAAUCUUAGACAGGGCCCGAUCAUAGUCAAAAGAAGAAUUUUGGCUUCUCUUGGGCGAGACAAGCUAACCUUUAGCUAGGAGCCUCUUCAGAGAAUCAUCGAACGUAAUAGUAUCGUUGUUUUGAAGUAUUGCUUGAGGAUUACCCUAAAGAGACUUGCAGAGCUGUUAUGCCUCAGUAUCCAGGAAGCUGAGACGCAUCUCUCCUUAAUGGUUGUUUCCAAAUCCCUGAUGGCUAAGAUAGACCGACCAAUGGGAAUUGUCAGUUUCCAAACGACAAAGGACAGCAAUGAGAUUUUGAACUCAGGGGCGACAAAUUUGGGAAAGCUGCUUGACCUUGUCGAGAAAAGUUGCCACCAAAUCCCCAAGGAAACCGUGGUUCAUAAGGCUGCUUUGAGGGCUCGAAGAUGUUUAGUUGAAUGAAUUAUCUCUCUCCCCUUGAGCCUCUCUCUCUCUCUCUCUCUCUCUCUCUCUCUCUCUCUCUCUCUCACCGAAGAAUGCUGUUUCACAUUGUGGUCUGAAGUGGGGACUGGCGAUAUUCAUCAUAGAACUCUCGCGUAGCUGUCUUAAAUUUGAUUGCAUAUUUUGCAGGGGGACCA